rnacentral:rRNA from 1 species
GCGAAAUUCCUUGUCGGGUAAGUUUCGACCUGCACGAAUGGCGUAACGAUGGCGGCGCUGUCUCCACCCGAGACUCAGUGAAAUUGAAAUCGCCGUGAAGAUGCGGUGUACCCGCGGCUAGACGGAAAGACCCCGUGAACCUUUACUAUAGCUUCACAGUGAACUUUGAAUUGGCUUGUGUAGGAUAGCUGGGAGGCUUUGAAGCGGUGACGCCAGUUACCGUGGAGCCAACCUUGAAAUACCACCCUGGCAACUUUGAGGUUCUAACUCAGGUCCGUUAUCCGGAUCGAGGACAGUGUAUGGUGGGUAGUUUGACUGGGGCGGUCUCCUCCCAAAGAGUAACGGAGGAGCACGAAGGUCGGCUAAUCCUGGUCGGACAUCAGGAGGUUAGUGCAAUGGCAUAAGCCGGCUUAACUGCGAGACAGACACGUCGAGCAGGUACGAAAGUAGGUCUUAGUGAUCCGGUGGUUCUGUAUGGAAGGGCCAUCGCUCAACGGAUAAAAGGUACUCCGGGGAUAACAGGCUGAUACCGCCCAAGAGUUCAUAUCGACGGCGGUGUUUGGCACCUCGAUGUCGGCUCAUCACAUCCUGGGGCUGAAGCCGGUCCCAAGGGUAUGGCUGUUCGCCAUUUAAAGUGGUACGCGAGCUGGGUUUAGAACGUCGUGAGACAGUUCGGUCCCUAUCUGCCGUGGGUGUAGGAUACUUGAGAGGAGUUGCCCCUAGUACGAGAGGACCGGGGUGAACGAUCCACUGGUGGACCUGUUAUCGUGCCAACGGUAGUGCAGGGUAGCUAUGAUCGGAAAGGAUAACCGCUGAAGGCAUCUAAGCGGGAAGCCCCCCUCAAAACAAGGUAUCCCUGAGGGCCGUGGAAGACCACCACGUCAAUAGGCCGGAGAUGUAAGU